GAGAGGUAAACCCAAGUCUUCUGGACAACAAGGCUUGCUAUCUCUCUCUCUCUCUCUCUCUCUCUCUCUCUCUCUCUCUCUCUCUCUCUCUCUCUCUCUCUCUCUCUCUCUCUCUCUCUCCAUGAGGUCACACUUCUCAGUGUAUUUCUCAAUUCCACUCAGAGGAUUAUUGAAUUUUUUUCCAUCUAUGGUGCCUGCCCGAGAUAUAUGCACUAAUACAAGAAGAAGGGAUCACAAAAGAACCAUUGUAUAGUUUCAAGAAGCACAAGGUCAAAGAGACCAACCAAUCCUGGUGGGACUGAUGAGAAUCUAUACCAAGACAGAGGAUUUGUUUUGAGUAUGAGGAUGUGACUGUGAAAAUGGCUCUUGGAACUCAAAUUUCACCACAGUCUUUGUCACUGGGACAAGAUUUGAUGGAUCAACCUUGGCCUCAUUUAGCUAUGGAGAUGAUUCCCCAGGAUGCAUUCAUGCCCGUUUUCUUCCGAGCGCUAUCUUUUCCAUCACCACAGCUUGACACAAUGAUCACAGGCAUAUAUCCCCCUAUAUCCCAGCAUGACUUCACUGUGACACAGCUUUUCCAGUCAAAAGAAGGAUCUGUCCUUUGAAGCCAAAACUUGCAUAAAAUACAUAUGUUUUUCCAUUAACCACCAAAGCAGCUUUUCUUAUUAACAACUAUAACAGGUUUUCAGCUCCCAUACCAACAUGUUUUUGAUUUCUUAAAGGUUCCAAGCACCCUUCCUAUAUAGUCUGAAAUACUUUUAAAUUGAAUAUAAUAGUUUUAAAAACAGAUGGCGAACAGUUUCUCCAAGUUACAGAACUGUAUAUGAGGCACAUAGCACAGCUCCCU
rnacentral:lncRNA from 1 species